UACGUAGGGUGCAAGCGUUAAUCGGAAUUACUGAGCGUAAAGCGUGCGCAGGCGGUUUGUUAAGUCGGAUGUGAAAUCCCUCGGCUCAACUGAGGAAGUGCAUCCGAAACUGGCAGGCUUGAGUACUAAAGAGGGUCGCGGAAUUCCCGGUGUAGAGGUGAAAUUCGUAGAUAUCGGGAGGAACACCGGUGGCGAAGGCGGCGACCUGGGUAGAUACUGACGCUGAGGUGCGAAAGCGUGGGGAGCAAACAGG
rnacentral:rRNA from 1 species